AACGGAGGGCGCGAGCGUUACCCGGAUUUACUGGGCGUAAAGGGCGUGUAGGCGGCUUGGGGCGUCCCAUGUGAAAGGCCACGGCUCAACUGUGGAGGAGUGUGGGAUACGCUCAGGCUAGACGGUGGGAGAGGGUGGUGGAAUUCCCGGAGUAGCGGUGAAAUGCGCAGAUACCGGGAGGAACGCCGAUGGCGAAGGCAGCCACCUGGUCCACAUGUGACGCUGAGGCGUGAAAGCGUGGGGAGCAAACCGG
rnacentral:rRNA from 1 species